rnacentral:lncRNA from 1 species
AUGCUUACCCUCUAGUAGUUGUUCGGAAGGAGAGAAUCCGAAGAAAUCCCCAAUUUAUUUGUAACUAUUAUCUACCACUCGAUACGAUCACAUCAGCAAUUCGUCCUGAAUCCUGAUACAGUUUUGUGAAUACAACUAAUUGCCAUUGACACUUUAGGCUGAUAACCUCAAAUAUGAUCAUACAAUAGCCGUCAAGAAUAGAUGAAUUUGAAUUCAUGUUCUUUUCAUUGUAUUUGAAC